CUCAGUGUAGGGGAGGUGUGUAUUUCUCUGUGUAGGGGAGGUGUGUAUUUCUCUGUGUAGGGGAGGUGUGUAUUUCUCUGUGUAGGGGAGGUGUGUAUUUCUCUGUGUAGGGGAGGUGUGUAUUUCUCUGUGUAGGGGAGGUGUGUAUUUCUCUGUGUAGGGGAGGUGUGUAUUUCUCUGUGUAGGGGAGGUGUGUAUUUCUCUGUGUAGGGGAGGUAUGGAUUUCUCUGUGUGGGGGAGGUAUGGAUUUCUAUGUGUGGUGGAUGUAUGGUAUUUUUGUGUUAUAGCGUACUGAGAUGUCCCCAGGCUGUCUGUUUCCAGGCUGUCUGUUUCCAGGCUGUCU
ensembl:lncRNA